rnacentral:rRNA from 1 species
GUGAGUCAUCGAAUCUUUGAACGCACCUUGCGCCCUUUGGUAUUCCGAGGGGCAUGCCUGUUUGAGUGUCAUUAAAUACCAUCAACCCUCUUUUGACUUCGGUCUCGAGAGUGGCUUGGAAGUGGAGGUCUGCUGGAGCCUAACGGAGCCAGCUCCUCUUAAAUGUAUUAGCGGAUUUCCCUUGCGGGAUCGCGUCUCCGAUGUGAUAAUUUCUACGUCGUUGACCAUCUCGGGGCUGACCUAGUCAGUUUCAAUAGGAGUCUGCUUCCAACCGUCUCUUGACCGAGACUAGCGACUUGUGCGCUAACUUUUGACUUGACCUCAAAUCAGGUAGGACUACCCGCUGAACUUAA